rnacentral:misc_RNA from 1 species
AUAUUCAAAUAAUAACCCCGUGGGGCUUCAAAGACAUGCGUUUGAACAGGCGUAUGUGAAGGGGGAGGGACGCCUCUCGCGAGGCAUCCCAACCAUAAGGUGCACGGGGUGUAAGGGACUAGUAAAACGGGAGGCGCGCACGCUGACCCUCGCGGGCCCGGCAUCCAACCCCCCUUAAAAUCUUACUGUAAUGAUCCUUCCGCAGGUUCACCUACGGAAA